UGGUUAAAAAGCUCGUAGUUGGAUCUCAACAGCCUUGAAGCGGUUAACUUUGUAGUUUUACUGCUUUAUAGGCUGUGCUUUUGCUGGAGGUUUAGGGGUGCUCUUGAUCGAGUGUCUCUGGAUGCCAGCAGGUUUACUUUGAAAAAAUUAGAGUGCUCAAAGCAGGCUAAAAUGCCUGAAUAUUCGUGCAUGGAAUAAUAGAAUAGGAUGUCGAUCCUAUUUUGUUGGUUUUCGGGACUCGACAUAAUGAUAAAUAGGGACAGUCGGGGGCAUUUGUAUUCAAACGACAGAGGUGAAAUUCUUGGACCGUUUGAAGACAAACUACUGCGAAAGCAUUUGCCAAGAAUGUUUUCAUUAAUCAAGAACGAAAGUUAGAGGUUCGAAGGCGAUUAGAUACCGCCCUAGUUCUAACCAUAAACGAUGCCAGCUAGCGAUCUGCCUGCGUUUUUACUGUAGACUGGGCAGGAAGCUUCCGGGAAACCAAAGCAUUUGGGUUCCAGGGGAAGUAUGGUUGCAAAGCUGAAACUUAAAGGAAUUGACGGAAGGGCACCACCAGGAGUGGAGCCUGUGGCUUAAUUUGACUCA
rnacentral:rRNA from 1 species